AAAAACACUUUGAAGAGAAGAGUAAGGUAUUCUUUCCUUUUGUAGAGAGCUUGGUUAGGUGAAAGCAAGCAAGGAACAGGUAGCUGAAGAUGGUCUCUGAGUGGCUUAUCCGAGUAGGGAAACCUUUAGGGUAGGACGGGAACGCCCGUUACAGUGUCCCAGUAUCAGUCAUGGCAAUUCGUGGCGGUACUGAUAGAGGCAAGAGUAGUGAUACUUUUGUAAAUUAAGGUGGUAACACGAGAUGAAACGUUGACUCUCGUCCUUUCA
rnacentral:ncRNA from 1 species